ensembl:lncRNA
CCAGGCUGACUCAGGACCCACCAGGAUGACACAGGACAGCCUAGACUGACUCAGGACAACCCAGUGUGGAUCAGGACACCCCAGGAUGAUACAGGACACCAAGGGAUGACUCAAUACACCAGUCUGACUCCAGAAAGCCCAGGGUGACUCACGACACCCCAGGCUGACAUAGGAUACCCUAGGGUGACAGAAUACAAAACAGGAUGACUCAGGAAACCCCAGGAUGACACAGGACACCCCAGACAGACUCAGAACACCCCAGGCUGACACAUGACACAACAGGAUGAAACAGGACACCCCUGGCUGACACAGGAAAUCCCAGGGUGACACACAACACGUCAGGCUGACCCAGGACACCUCAGGCUGACAAAUAUACCCCAGGAUGACACAGGGCACCAAGGGUGACUAAGGACAGCCAGGCUGACUCAGGACACCCCACGCUGACUCAGGAUACCCCAGGAUGACACAGGACACCCCAGGAUGAUACAGGAAACCCCAGGCUGAUACAGGACAACCCAGGCUGUGACAGGACACCCCAGGAUGACUCAGGACAUCCCAGGAUGGCUCAGGAUACCCCAGGCUGUCACAGGAUACCACAUGCUGGCACUGGACACCCCAGGCUGAUUCAGACACUUCAGGCUGACACAGGACAUCCCAGAUCGACACACAACACCCCAGGGUGACACAUGACACCCCAGGCUGACUCAGGACACCCCAGGCUGAUUCAGGACACACCAGGAUGACUCAGGACACCCAAGGCUGAUUAAGGACAUCUCAGGGUGACACACAACUCCCAAGGUUGAGUCAGGACACCCCAGGCUGACUCAGGACACACAAGGAUGUCUCAGGACACAGAAGGAUGGCUGAGGACUCUCCAGGUUGACACAGGACACCCCAGGGUGACUCAGGACACCCCAGGAUGAUUCACGAACCCCCAGUAAGACACAGACCCCCCAGGAUGACCCAGGACACCCAGUCUUACACAGGACACCCCAGGAUGAAUCAAAAGACCCAAGGAUGACACAGGACACCCCAUGGUGACACAGGAAUACCCAGGAUGACACAGGACAACCCAGGCUGACUCAGAACUCCCCAGGAUGGUUAAGGGCACCCCAGGUUGACUCAGCACAGCCCAGGAUGACACAGGACACCCCAGGCUGGAUGAGGACAACCCAGGCUGACUCAAACACACCAGGAUGACUCAUGAAAUUGCAGGAUGAUGCAGGAAAUCCCAGGCUGACAAAGGACACCCCAGAAUGACUCAGGACAUCCCAGCCUGACUAAGGACACCCCAGAGUGGACUCAGGACAACCCAGGAUGACUCAGGAUAACCCAGGCUGACACAGGACAACGAGGACAAUACAGGACACCCAGUCUUACACAUGACAUCGCAGGAUAACAAAGGACACCACAGCUGACACAGGACAACCCAGGGAUGACUCAAGACACCCCAGGAUGACUCAGGAGACCCCAGUCUUACACACGACAUCCUAGGAUGAAUCAAGAGAACCUAGGAUGACUCAGGACACCCCAGACUGACACAGGACUCCCCACAAUGACACAGGACAACCCAGGGUGAGACAGGACACACAAGGCUGACUCGGGACACCCCAGGCUGACUCGGGACACCCCAGACUGAAUCAGGAAUCCCCAGGCUGACUCAGGACGUCCCAGGUUGACUCAGGACACCCCAGGAUGACAAAGGACACCCCAGGCCAAAACAGGCCACCCCAUGAUGACUCAGGACACCCCAGGAGGCCUCAGGACACCCCAGGAUGACAUAGGACAACCAAGGAUGAACCAGGACACUCCAGGAUGACUCAGGACAUCCCAGCCUGACUGAGGACACCCCAGAGUGGACUCAGGACAACCCAGGAUGACACAGGACACUCCAGUUGACACAGGAUACCCCAGGAUGACACAGGAAAUCCCAGGCUGACACAGGACACCCCAGGAUGACUCAGGACACCCCAGGAUGAUUCAGAAACCCCAGGCUGACACAGAACACCCCGGGAUGACACAUGACACUCCAGGAUGACUCCCGACAUGCCAGCCUGACUAGGGACAUCCCAGAGUUACUCAACACACCCCAGUCUGACACAGGACACCCCAGGCUGACACAGAACACCCCAGUCUGACACAGGACACCCCAGGAUGACACAUGGUACCCCAGGAUGACUCAGGACAUCACAGGAUGGCUCAGAUCACCCCAGGCUGACACAGGACACCCCACGCUGACACAGAACACCCCAGUCUGACACAGGACACCCCAGGAUGACACAUGGUACCCCAGGAUGACUCAGGACAUCACAGGAUAGCCCAGAUCACCCCAGGCUGACACAGGACACCCCAGGCUGACACAGAACACCCCCUGAUAACUCAGGACACCCGAGCGUGACACACGACACCCCCGGAUGACUCAGGACAUGCCAGGAUGACUCCGAAGAUGCCAGGAUGACUCAGGACACCCCAUGAUUACUGUGGACACCCCAGGGAGACUCAGGACACCACGAGUGAUUCAGGACACCCCAGGCUGACACAGGACAUCCCAGGGUGACUCAGGACACCCCAGGUUGACACAGGACAACCCAGGAUGGCUCACAACAUCCCAGGGUGACACAGGACACCCAAAGAUGACACAGGACACCCCAGGAUGACACAGGUCACAUCAGGCUGACUCAGGACACCCGAGGUUGACUCAGGACAACCCAUGAUGUCAAGAGACACACCAGGAUGACAAAGGACACAACAGGAUCACCUAGGACACCCCAGGAUGACUCAGGAAACCCUAGGAUGACACAGGACACCCCAGACCGACUCAGGAUCCUCCAGGAUGAUAUAGGACACCCCGUGGUGACUCAGCACAACCAAGAGUGACUCAGGACACCCCACACUGACCAGAACACCCCAGGCAGGCUUAGCACACCCAGGCUAGGUUGACAGGCUAUGUCCUCUCCCACCCAUCCUCCCCGUCCUCCCCCAUCCUCCCCACCUGUCCUCCCUGUCCUCCC